rnacentral:lncRNA from 1 species
CUCAAAACACUUCAAAAUCCAAGUGUCAGUUCUUCUUCAUGCUUUUCAAGCCUUCUCUUCUGGCCUUAGAAGUCCUCAUCUAAACUGAGUAAGUCUCCUUUCCUUAGCUUUUCAAUUACAAGUAGUUACAUAGUCUAAUUUAGUCGAAUGUCAACAAUUUUUAGCAGUUUUACUUUUCUAUUUAACCUUCGGUUCUAACCACUUUGGUCAACCAAAUUUAAAUUAAACUCAACCAAAUCAUCUUCAUAAUGUAGAGGUUCAAAAACCUUACAUCCAUCUAAAUGGGUCAAAAUGAUAAGUUAAACCUGAAACUCUAAAAAGUCAAACUCAGCUUUUUGUAAUUAUCGACAAAUGAACUUUUAAGCAUUAUAAUCUAAAGUUUUGAGACCAAAAUAGUUUGUACAACACCACAAAAAUAUGUUCUAACAUAUUUGACUUAUCACGGACCCAUUUACCGCACGAACCCGUAUUUACGAAAAUGACUUGUUAAAAUGGCAUAAACCAUAUAAAAAAGUCGUAAUGGGUCAAAACCUUUUCAAAACACUUUCAAAUCAGAAUGUAAGGGUAUUUAACUGUAACAUACGAGGUCCUUCACUCGUAUGGUUAUAAACCACAUUCUAUCUGGUCAACGCUUAAUCUAGCAGAAUCGUGCUCAAAUCUAUGUAAACCGGUCAAGUCCAAAGGACACAUAAUACCCCGUAAACUAUUCUCAUGGAUAAUAUUUCCAUUCAUUUUGAACUUGGGAUAUGGUACAAAACCACUUGGUUCAGGUAUUACAGUGGGCAUAUGCUUUCAGAAUGUUGAUAAUCUGAUUUUAAUCAGUAUUUCUUGAUUAACAUAAAGCAUUUGGGGGUUAAUAGUACCGUAUCUAGGAGUCUGGAUUCAAAUACUGUAAUGGCCAUUAAGUGCAGGGUGUAGGCAUACACCUGACACCACAAUAUAUAUGGUGUGUAUAUUAAUCAAAAGCCGGUUUUUGACACUGGAUCCCGAAUGUGACAAGCAUGUAAAUCUGGUAACAAGAUUAUUAUCCUACAUCCGGGCCCACCAAGAAAUCAGGGUGUGACAUAUAAGACGUAUCUCUGAGAUUUAUUAUACCAAAGUAUGUGUGAACAAUGCUUUGACUUAUGUAACAUACACAUGUUAAAAGAAUGUCAUCGAUAUUAGGAUAAGUUUACAUUAGUUACUCCUACUCAUCUUAAGGUAGGUACAUUAAUCCAAUUGAUUCUUGAUGAAAAGAAUUGCAUAAAGUUUUCAUCACAUUUUGAUGUUUACUUUAACUCAUACAUGGAUUUUAUUGACUUCCAGAUUAAGUGUUCAGUGACCUUCAUUUAACUUUCGGGUUGUUUUAUGAACAUGUAACUCUUUGUUAGGGAAAGUUGUUUAAUUGUUCAUCUAAUGUAGCUCUAAAUUAUUGUAAGCUACUAGAUCAACCAAAUCCCAAACGUAAACAUUAUUCAGACACAUAAAAUCAAUUUUGCUAAAAUAAUAGUUUUAUUACAUAGAAUAUUAUUGUUACUAAUGGCUUAACUAGAAGAGGUAGGAUCUGUAAACUUUCCAACAACCAUUUCAACUUCAGUUAGGGAGGAUACAUAAUCAUCAAAGUUAGUAGGCUUUUAAACUUAGAUAACCUUUUGAGUUGAUUAUUUGGUUUUAUUAAGAGUUUCAGUUGUAUGAAUUGGUUAGGGGGCUAUCACUUUCAAGUAUAUUAGGAGCAACAUUAGAUUCUAGAUGUGUAAGAGUCGGUGUAGUAUGAUGUGCAAGAGGUGUAAUCGAAGUUAUUCGGAGUAAGACUUAAUGAGUCUCUCACCCCCAUCUCUUGUACUUCCAGCAAGUCAUGAUAAAGACUUUGCUGCUCCCACUGACCUUAGAAGUCUUUAAAAAUUAAGCAUGCUUAAGGUCAACAUUUAGAAGACCAACAUCUUUCAAAAGAGAAACAAGUUAAUGAUGUUACUCAUUUUAGUUACUUUUGUUGUAGGAUUAGUUUAGUUUUGGUAAGAAAUCUGAGUGUGCCAACGUUUAAGCAACAAUGAAACUUUUGUAAGAGUAGCAUUAUAUUUUGAGGAGACAAGUUGUGAUGGAGCAGUGUCUUGUACAAGAGGUGUAAAUUGAGGUAAUAUCGAGUUUUCACUUCGCUGCCUCUUGUAACUCUUUCAAGUUAUAAUUAAGACACCUAUUGCUCCUACUAACCUUUUAGAUCUUUAGGAAAGCUACAAGAUAACUUUCAAUGAUGUACGUGACGUGGGAACUUGUUAUAUAUGUUAGACUAGAUUCCCUUAAUGUCCAGAUGUUAUAAGAAACUUUUGGGACAUAUUUAGAAGGAGUUCUAGUAUCUAUGAAUUGAUAUCCUUAAGACCUUGACACAUAGGAGACAUAUUAGGUAUAAGUAAUUAUUCUUUGAAAUGAUAAAUGAAUUAUGUCUGAAUAUUUCAUUUAGGAUAAGCUCAAAUGAAUUAUAGAUUCUGGUGGAACCUGAUUUAUUCCCUUACCCAGUUAAAUAUUAGGGCAAUUAACAAAUGUUUGAAAGUCAAUAAGAAUGAUAUUUAAUAAAAUCCAUCCUGCAUCAACCUGGUCAAGAUUUGUCAUGAACUUUUGUUUCAAUGUAUAGUAUCAUCUAGUUCUAUCUUAUAAGGUUUUUAUUCAUAUACUGAUAACAAAUAAUUUGAGAGUUUAAGGUAAGUGUGAUUUUGUUUUAGCCAUGUAAACCUCACAAAUGUCAUAAUGUAGCUUUAGUAUUGGUAUUAAAUUUUGAGUAAUAUCCAGAAUAUGUAAGGUAUCAUGAAACCCACUUACAAAACAAUUUAUUAUGUUGCUUAGAGCCUUAACAUAAAAUUUGCACUAACUCUCAUCUUAAUUAUUUGUUGAUUUAUGGUAAGGUAACAUAUAAAACUAGACUCUAACCCUUUAUGUGUUAAUUGGAAUAUCAUCGUUAGCAUACUUAGAUAUAAUUAAUGUGCGACUACCUAUCUUAGCCAGUUGUCCUUUAAAUAAUGGAUAGUCUCAUUGCUUGUGCCUAUUCAAAUGGCAUAACUUUGCAGAGAGAUUUUCCUUUGAAGAAACUUAGAGUUGGAAGUAGUCUUGUAUUCUAUCUCCAGAUCUUUGAAGUAUAACCUUUUUAGGUUUAGUGGUGGUGAGUGAAUAACAUCUUAUUUUCCAGUUUCAGACGUUCAUUUUCAUGUACGUAUGUAUGUUGCUGAUUAACACACUCAUUUUCCCGUGGUACUUCUGAAUGUUAUAGUUGAUUCUUAAGGCAUCGAAUUCGUACCGCUGAAAAAGUUAGCAUGUAACACAUUGAAAAAGUGUAUUGAUUUCCAUGUGUAAGAGCAUUAACAACGGAUCCCCUAUAUAUUUGUGAGUGCAUUACUUAUAUUAUAAGAGAUGGUUGUGAGUGGUUUUGAGUACUUGUGAGUAGAGGAGAGAUAAAAUGUUACCGUUCAUCUGUAAACAUACGGAAACAUUGUUCACCCCUAAAAUUUCUUAAUAUAUUUGAAAGUGGUUGUGAGUGUAGGUGAGAGAAAAGGUAAUGAUAAAGAUAUAAAAAAAUAUAUUAUUUGAUUGAAAAGUAAAGAGAAAAAGUAGUGAUUUUUUAAUGUAAUUAUAGAAAUAUGGAUAUGGGUCUGAAUGUGAAUACUUUAAGCCCUUAAUUUUAUGGGCCAUGUUAGAAUUUAGAGUGAAUGCAUGCAUUUUAGGAGUUCCUUUUGAUUCUUCCAAAGAAAAGAGUUUAGUAUUAGGGAAUUUAGAACUUGGAAUAGCUCCCAUGAUAGCAAUCAUAUAA